UUGAAAACCAAAACAAAAUGUACCAUCUGAUUUUAGGCUUUUAGAGUUGGGUCAGAUAGCAAUUCAAGUUUAUUACAGUAGUAAUGUGCAAGCUGGCCUUAUAGUCGCAAAUAUAUAUGUUCUGCUGCAGGAGAAGGUGACCGUAAAUUCUGUAGAGAAUACUCAGGCAGUCAGGCGGUGGUGUAAUAUAACUAUACAAGAAUGGUGAUCUCAACUACUACCCGUCGUCUUCAGCUUCAACCUUCUAGCAUGCACAUGAAUUUUGCGCUACCAAGGGAAAGCUUGGCAGGCAGUGUGAUCGAGAGGACUGGUUCUUUGGUUACUGAUCUAAAUGUCAUUUGUACAACACUCAACUUUGUCACCCAGAAUAUUAUUCUCAUGCUAAAGAUCAAAUAUCCAAUCAAUGAACUCCCCAAAUUCCUGGAUUGGAUCACAUUAGCUGCCGCAAUAGUUUCAUGCGUCGGAACCAUUGCUUCUCUCAUUAAAUAUAACAACAGGCCACUGCACAAGGGACGUUGGUUCAACUUUUUUGUCGCUCUUGCAUUGGUUGCACUAACAGGACUUUCUCUAGCUGUUCACAGUGAUCCCAGAGUAUUUACACUGGCAGUGUCAACCGUGUCUUCUGGAUUGCUAUCUGUAACUAACGCAAACUCUCAAAGAAAGGAGAGGUGUUUCUUAUUGGGUGCCAAAAGAGUACCAAUUGCUAUAUUGCGCAUAGAAGACAACGUGAUAUCUUAUCUGCAAGUGAGUGAAGAAGACAUACACCUAGUCGAUCCCCUGUAUCAAGCUGGCAGGAAUGUGGCUUUCUCGGUGUCCACUGGAGAAGGGGUGAUGACAGAGUGCAAGAUGAGAGAAGCGUAAACACAUCGGGUCAGAUACUUAGAUGAGUGUUCAUCUUGGUGCAAUCCUUCCUGACAUAUUACUUAAUUUUCACGCGCAAGCUUACAUUUUCUCAAACUAAACUUAUAUUAUCAUGAAUCCUUAUUACAUUGUGCUUCAAUAGUUUUAAUUGGUACGCAAACUUGUUAUUCUGCUGCCAGCUCCUUUUAGUAAUUUGGUUCAUAUGGAUCAGCCAAGUUGCAGCUAAUUAAGUCUCUACUUUUAAGUUGUACUGAACUUAUGCUUAUGGAAAUAUCAUGACAGUUACCUCA